CACGUUCCUGGGCUCUGCCUUGACUGCUGCCAUUGUUCUGACAGCAUGAACUUAGAGCCUGCGUCACCCUGCCAUGGCAAUAUUGUUAUUUUUUAACCUGCUAUAAAAAGCCAGCAGCAAGAAGAGGCGCUGCUCUGUCCUGCACAACUAAAAGGUAUCUGCUCCAGUCAGUGCUCCAUCCUCUUAUUCUCAUCCCACAUUAUGCCUGGAUAGCCUGACGGGCCAUAGGAAGCCUUCUGCUGUUUCCAGACAUCGGGGCAGUUUUGCAUCCCUGUGCCAGGUCUGUGUCCAUGUACUGGUGGCUGGGAUGGCUGCCCAGCAGGGAGACGUCCUGCUGGCUCCCAGGCUGCCUUAGGGCAGAAGCUGCUGCUUCUGAUCAUCUCUGAGACGUUGGAGCCAGCAGUUUCCUGGACAGAGAUGUCUUCUCAGCACAAUUUAAGGAGUCUCAGAGGCUGCACCAUCCUUGGGCCGGCUGAAUGUGACUUCUCCUCCCCAUCCACUUCAUCUUGCACCAGUACCUGCUUGUGAGAACCCUGGGAGCCAACCACUGUGCUCACAUUGGAUCAUAAUGGACCACAAGGUAGGAUGUCCUCCUGGAUAAAGCACUAGAUUAAGGCUCAGGAGUCAAUGUCUUCAUCCUGUCCACCCCAUACCUCAUUUUAUCUGAUCAUUAAUUCAAAAUGACACAGAAAACCACUGUCAAUGUAUUGGGAAAGAC
rnacentral:lncRNA from 14 species